rnacentral:rRNA from 1 species
GGUUAGCUGAUAGCAUCAGCUAAUUAUAUUUGGCUUUAUUAAUUUAAAUUAUAUAGCUUUAGGGUUAUAUAAAUUAUUUUAAUAAAUUUAUUAUGGAAAUAAAUUUUUCUCAUAGACAGAUAUAAGAUCGAUUUUAUCGAAUGAAGUUCUAGAUGGAUUAUUGAUAAUGACAAUUUUCCAUUCAUAUGUCUUGACCAAAUUACGUGCCAGCAGUCGCGGAAAUACGUAGAAGACUAGUGUUAUUCAUCUUUAGUAGGUUUAAAGGGUACCUAGACGGUAUAAUUAGUCUUAAACAGGAUACGGUUAUACUAGAGUUAUAUAUAAGGAGGUGCGUAUUUUUGGAGUAGAGUUGAAAUUCUUUGAUACCUUAACGACUGGUAAAGGCGAAAGCAACCUUUUAUCUAAUAACUGACGUUGAGGGACGAAGGCUUGGGUCACGAACAGGAUUAGAUACCCCAGUAGUCCUUGCAGAGAAUGAUGAAUGCCAUAGGUUAGAUAUUUUUAGUCUAUAAAUGAAAGUGUAAGCAUUUCACCUCAAGAGUAAUGUGGCAACGCAGGAACUGAAAUCAUUAGACCGUUUCUGAAACCAGUAGUGAAGUAUGUUAUUUAAUUCGUAAGUACGCGAAAAACCUUACCACAAUUUGAAUAUUAUCUAAUAAAUAAAACAUAUUAUUAUAUGUUUUAUAGGAUAUUACAAGCGUUGCACGGCUGUCUUCAGUUAAUGUCGUGAGAUAUUGGUUAAUUCCAUUAAAUUAACGGAAACCCAUGCUUUAUUUGCAAUAAAAAGAAAUAAAGCAGUUCACUUUUA